rnacentral:rRNA from 1 species
GCCUACGGGGGGCAGCAGUGGGGAAUAUUGCGCAAUGGGCGAAAGCCUGACGCAGCGACGCCGCGUGAGGGAUGAAGGUCUUCGGAUCGUAAACCUCUGUCAGCAGGGAAGAACGGUCACUGUGCUAAUCAGCAGUGAAUUGACGGUACCUGCAAAGGAAGCACCGGCUAACUCCGUGCCAGCAGCCGCGGUAAUACGGAGGGUGCGAGCGUUAAUCGGAAUUACUGGGCGUAAAGCGCUCGUAGGCGGUAUGUCAAGUCAAGGGUGAAAUCCCCGCGCUCAACGUGGGAACUGCCUUAGAAACG